rnacentral:rRNA from 1 species
UGGGGAAUAUUGCACAAUGGGCGAAAGCCUGAUGCAGCAACGCCGCGUGAGUGAUGAAGGUCUUCGGAUUGUAAAGCUCUGUCUUUUGGGACGAUAAUGACGGUACCAAAGGAGGAAGCCACGGCUAACUACGUGCCAGCAGCCGCGGUAAUACGUAGGUGGCGAGCGUUGUCCGGAUUUACUGGGCGUAAAGGGUGCGUAGGCGGAUGUUUAAGUGAGAUGUGAAAUACCCGGGCUUAACUUGGGUGCUGCAUUUCAAACCGGAUAUCUAGAGUGCAGGAGAGGAGAAUGGAAUUCCUAGUGUAGCGGUGAAAUGCGUAGAGAUUAGGAAGAACACCAGUGGCGAAGGCGAUUCUCUGGACUGUAACUGACGCUGAGGCACGAAAGCGUGGGUAGCAAACAGGAUUAGAUACCCUGGUAGUCCACGCCGUAAACGAUGAGUACUAGGUGUAGGAGGUAUCGACCCCUUCUGUGCCGCAGUAAACACAUUAAGUACUCCGCCUGGGAAGUACGAUCGCAAGAUUAAAAC